GUGCAUUUAUGCCCUGGCUCACAUAAGGUAUUUGUAUUCCCGAGUCUACUUGAUAUGUCCCCCAAGAAGGCAUUUGUGGUGCACAAUGUAUACGUCUCUACAAUGCGGUCAACAAAGAUAGGUGCUCUAAUUUCUCAUGGAUCUAUAACCUAUUACGCGUGUAUUGGGGAGAGUACUGAUACAUACCAGAGCCCUUAAAGGAUCUCGCAGCCAUCAACAAUCGCUUAAACGGGCGAGCUCACAGUGAGGUGCACUCAAUGGGUCAUGCUUCUCAUUUGUUCAUAAAUGGAGAAGACUCAGGGUUUCAUAACAAUCGAGCUGUUUACAACUACAUCAAGAUGGCGAUGGAUGUAUUAGCGGUAAGCAAAUAUUCUUUUCAUAAUUGUUAAUCAUUUGUUUGUUCUUUCCUUUAUUUGAUUUCUAUUAUUUAAAUGUGCUGAUUUGAUGCUGUCUUGGGCUGUUUUGUGUUUAUUUGGUGCUUUUUCGGGCUGAGUUGCAGUUUAAAUUGAUAGGGUUCUAGUACUCGGGGGAACCAAUUAAUGGCAACUCAAUCCUCAUUCAACAUUCAAACGCUCAUUUUACGGAUCUCUGGUAUUUGUUCUAACCGUAAAUAUGUUAUUCUUUAUAUAUGUUACUCAAAAACGUCAUGUGUUCAAUUGAUACAUAUAUCUGAUUGAAGUUUUUUUGGUCUUAAUGUUUAGUAUAAGUUUUUGAUCUUAAUGUUCUUCAUGUGUUCAAUU